rnacentral:rRNA from 1 species
GACGGAGGAUGCAAGCGUUAUCCGGAAUGAUUGGGCGUAAAGCGUCCGCAGGUGGCAAUGUAAGUCUGCUGUCAAAGCGUCUGGCUCAACCAGAUAAAGGCAGUGGAAACUACAUAGCUAGAGUAAGGUAGGGGUAGAGGGAAUUCCUGGUGUAGCGGUGAAAUGCGUAGAGAUCAGGAAGAACACCGGUGGCGAAAGCGCUCUGCGUGGACCUUAACUGACACUGAGGGACGAAAGCUAGGGGAGCGAAUGGG